GCCCUUGUAACUCAGCUGGUAGAGUGUCAGAUUCGUAAUCUGAAUGCCGGGGGUUCAACCCCCCCCAAGGGCU
rnacentral:tRNA from 1 species